rnacentral:rRNA from 1 species
CCUACGGGGUGCUGCAGUGAGGAAUAUUGGUCAAUGGACGAGAGUCUGAACCAGCCAAGUAGCGUGAAGGAUGACUGCCCUAUGGGUUGUAAACUUCUUUUAUAUGGGAAUAAAAUGUUCCACGUGUGGGAUUUUGUAUGUACCAUAUGAAUAAGGAUCGGCUAACUCCGUGCCAGCAGCCGCGGUAAUACGGAGGAUCCGAGCGUUAUCCGGAUUUAUUGGGUUUAAAGGGAGCGUAGGUGGAUUGUUAAGUCAGUUGUGAAAGUUUGCGGCUCAACCGUAGAAUUGCAGUUGAAACUGGCAGUCUUGAGUACAGUAGAGGUGGGCGGAAUUCGUGGUGUAGCGGUGAAAUGCUUAGAUAUCACGAAGAACUCCGAUUGCGAAGGCAGUUCACUGGACUGCAACUGACACUGAGGCUCGAAAGUGUGGGUAUCAAACAGGAUUAGAUACCCGGGUAGUC